GUAGGGAAUCUCCACAAUGGACGCAAGUCUGAUGGAGCAACGCCGCGUGAGUGAAGAAGGGUUUCGGCUCGUAAAGCUCUGUUGUUAAAGAAGAACGUGGGUAAGAGUAACUGUUUACCCAGUGACGGUAUUUAACCAGAAAGCCACGGCUAACUACGUGCCAG
rnacentral:rRNA from 1 species